rnacentral:SRP_RNA from 1 species
GCUGGGCACGGUGGCACAUGCCUGUAGUCCCAGCUACUCGGGAGGUUGAGGUGGGAGGAUAGCUUGAGCCUAGGAGUUCUGGGCUGUAGUGUGCUAUGCCAAUCGGUGUCCACACCAAGUUCAGCAUUAAUAUGGUGACCUCCCGGGAGCGGGGGACCACCAGGUUGCCUAAGGAGGGGUGAACCGGCCCAGGUCAGAAAUGGAGCAGGUCAAAACUCCCGUGCUGAUCAAUAGUGGGAUCACGCCUGUGAAUAGCCACUGUACUCCAGCCUGGGCAACAUAUCGAGACCUUGUCUCA